rnacentral:rRNA from 1 species
AUACGUAGGUGGCAAGCGUUGUCCGGAUUUACUGGGCGUAAAGGGCGUGUAGGCGGAGAUGCAAGUCAGGAGUGAAAUCUAGGGGCUCAACCCCUAAACUGCUUUUGAAACUGUAUCCCUUGAGUAUCGGAGAGGCAGGCGGAAUUCCUAGUGUAGCGGUGAAAUGCGUAGAUAUUAGGAGGAACACCAGUGGCGAAGGCGGCCUGCGGGACGGAAACUGACGCGGAGGCGGGAAAGCGUGGUGAGCAAACAGGAUGAGAUACCCUGGUAGUCCACGCUGUAAACGAUGAAUACUAGGUGUGGGGGGACUGACCCCCUCCGUGCCGCAGUUAACACAAUAAGUAUUCCACCUGGGGAGUACGAUCGCAAGAUUGAAACUCAAAGGAAUUGACGGGG